AACCAGACUCCUACGGGAGGCAGCAGUGGGGGAUAUUGCACAAUGGGGGAAACCCUGAUGCAGCGACGCCGCGUGAGUGAAGAAGUCUUUCGGUAUGUAAAGCUCUAUCAGCAGGGAAGAAAAAAGACGGUACCUGACUAAGAAGCCCCGGCUAACUACGUGCCAGCAGCCGCGGUAAUACGUAGGGGGCAAGCGUUAUCCGGAUUUACUGGGUGUAAAGGGAGCGUAGACGGCAAUACAAGUCGGAAGUGAAAUACCCGGGCGCAACCUGGGAACUGCUUUGGAAACUGUAUGGCUAGAGUGCUGGAGAGGUAAGCGGAAUUCCUAGUGUAGCGGUGAAAUGCGUAGAUAUUAGGAGGAACACCGGUAGCGAAGGCGGCCUGCUGGACCGCGACUGACGUUGAGGCUCGAAAGCGUGGGGAGCAAACAGGAUUAGAUACCCUAGUACA
rnacentral:rRNA from 1 species